CCGUAGGAGAACGUGGAGAAGUCUCUAUAUUGUUUUUUUUUAGAGAAGAUGUGAUUUGUUGCGCGUCUUCUAUACUAUAUUGGCACGAGAGGGGGCAUGUCACCUCCUUCUUCAUCAUUCAUCACACCCCCUGUGCAGUUGUGAGACAACAAUAGUUGGUGGAUUUAAUUUCAUCCAUUUGCUGUCUACUUAAUUUACACACACUCUACUUAAUUUAAACUGAAUGUAAUUGAUGUAACGCAUCUAAUACUAAGUUUCAACAACGGAUCUCUUGGCUCUCGCAUCGAUGAAGAACGCAGCGAAAUGCGAUAAGUAAUGUGAAUUGCAGAAUUCAGUGAAUCAUCGAAUCUUUGAACGCACCUUGCGCUCCUUGGUAUUCCUUGGAGCAUGCCUGUUUGAGUAUCAUGAAAUCUUCAAAGUAAACCUUUUGUUAAUUCAAUUGGUCUUUUUUACUUUGGUUUUGGAGGAUCUUAUUGCAGCUUCACACCUGCUCCUCUUUGUGCAUUAGCUGGAUCUCAGUGUUAUGCUUGGUUCCACUCGGCGUGAUAAGUUAUCUAUCGCUGAGGACACCCGUAAAAAAGGUGGCCAAGGUAAAUGCAGAUGAACCGCUUCUAAUAGUCCAUUGACUUGGACAAUAUUCUAUUUUAUGAUCUGAUCUCAAAAUCAGGUAGGACUACCCGCUGAACUUAAGCAUAUCAAUAAGCGGAGGA
rnacentral:rRNA from 1 species